AAUUGUGACUGGUAAUAGCAAAUUAUAAGACAGUGACAGAUUAGGCUUGUGAAUUUCUUUUAAACCUUGCUGCUCUUUGGGGACUUUCUAUGCUGUCCCUCUUUUAUGAUCACUCUUUUAUUUAAGAAAAAAUCAACAAAACCAAGACCUAGAUUUUAAAAGAAUGUUACACGUGAAAUGAAGAGGGCAUUUAUGUCUGAGCGCUGGCCCACUGUGACUAGCCUUGGCCUCUAGUCAGCCUGACCAGCACCAACCAGGAGUGAGGAGCAG
rnacentral:lncRNA from 1 species